rnacentral:lncRNA from 1 species
ACCAUAACCCACUGGAGGUACCAACGGCUGCUAUCUGCAUGCCUCAGGGGAGGAAACUGAGGCCCAGGAAAAGAGAGUUUGCUGUAUCCAGAGAGACAGAUUGGUCCCGUUUAAUCUAAUAAACGGAGAAGGAGCUAACAGUCACCAGGCUCUGGACUGGAACGGGGGAUACAGAGGUGAAGAGCUCAGUUUGUGUCCUUGUGGAACUCACCACCCAGGUAUGUACAAACACACUUUUGAUAUAACAUAAGUACUAUAAUUGCAAAAACCAUUUAUUGUUGAUGUUUAAAUAGUCUGCCUGGUUGUCAGUUGAUGUGUCAAAUCAUGUAUUGCAAUGUUUGAUGCAGAAAAUAUGGUUGGCACUAACCCGAGGAAUUAACCACAGAAGUUUAGCAAUGAGCAUGACUGACUCAGCCUGGAGGGUCUGAGAUGUCUUCACAGAGCAGGCAAAAUACUCAACCGUAUAUUGACCAUUCCUAGCACGGGGAGAGACAGGUUUUAAGGCAGACAGGUCAGUAUAGGCAAAGAUGUGGAAGUGAGAAAGAGCAUGGUCUGUUGGGAG